ACCUCACUGGUGUAGUGGUAGCACGCUCCACCGGUAUUGGUGAUACACAGGUUCAUAUCCCUUGUGAGGCU